GCAGUCGAGCGAAUGGAUUAAGAGCUUGCUCUUAUGAAGUUAGCGGCGGACGGGUGAGUAACACGUGGGUAACCUGCCCAUAAGACUGGGAUAACUCCGGGAAACCGGGGCUAAUACCGGAUAACAUUUUGAACUGCAUGGUUCGAAAUUGAAAGGCGGCUUCGGCUGUCACUUAUGGAUGGACCCGCGUCGCAUUAGCUAGUUGGUGAGGUAACGGCUCACCAAGGCAACGAUGCGUAGCCGACCUGAGAGGGUGAUCGGCCACACUGGGACUGAGACACGGCCCAGACUCCUACGGGAGGCAGCAGUAGGGAAUCUUCCGCAAUGGACGAAAGUCUGACGGAGCAACGCCGCGUGAGUGAUGAAGGCUUUCGGGUCGUAAAACUCUGUUGUUAGGGAAGAACAAGUGCUAGUUGAAUAAGCUGGCACCUUGACGGUACCUAACCAGAAAGCCACGGCUAACUACGUGCCAGCAGCCGCGGUAAUACGUAGGUGGCAAGCGUUAUCCGGAAUUAUUGGGCGUAAAGCGCGCGCAGGUGGUUUCUUAAGUCUGAUGUGAAAGCCCACGGCUCAACCGUGGAGGGUCAUUGGAAACUGGGAGACUUGAGUGCAGAAGAGGAAAGUGGAAUUCCAUGUGUAGCGGUGAAAUGCGUAGAGAUAUGGAGGAACACCAGUGGCGAAGGCGACUUUCUGGUCUGUAACUGACACUGAGG
rnacentral:rRNA from 1 species